rnacentral:rRNA from 1 species
GAUGAACGCUGGCGGCGUGCUUAACACAUGCAAGUCGAACGAAGCACCUUGAUUUGAUUCUUCGGAUGAAGAUCUUGGUGCCUGAGUGGCGGACGGGUGAGUAACGCGUGUGUAACCUGCCUCAUACAGGGGGAUAACAGUUAGAAAUGACUGCUAAUACCGCAUAAGACCACAGCACCGCAUGGUGCAGGGGUAAAAACUCCGGUGGUAUGAGAUGGACCCGCGUCUGAUUAGGUAGUUGGUGGGGUAACGGCCUACCAAGCCGACGAUCAGUAGCCGACCUGAGAGGGUGACCGGCGACAUUGGGACUGAGACACGGCCCAAACUCCUACGGGAGGCAGCAGUGGGGAAUAUUGCAAAAUGGGGGAAACCCUGAUGCAGCGACGCCGCGUGAGCGAUGAAGUAUUUCGGUAUGUAAAGCUCUAUCAGCAGGGAAGAAAAUGACGGUACCUGACUAAGAAGCACCGGCUAAAUACGUG